rnacentral:siRNA from 1 species
GUUAGUUUUACCCUACUGAUGC